CUCUCUCUCUCUCUUCUUCUUCUUCUUCUUCUUCUGCA
rnacentral:sRNA from 1 species